rnacentral:rRNA from 1 species
UACGGAGGGUGCGAGCGUUGUCCGGAAUCAUUGGGCGUAAAGGGCGCGUAGGUGGCCCGGUCAGUCUUUGGUGAAAGCGCGGGGCUCAACCCUGCGUCGGCCAGGGAUACUGCCGCGGCUCGAGCACUGUAGAGGCAGGCGGAAUUCCGGGUGUAGCGGUGGAAUGCGUAGAGAUCCGGAGGAACACCGGUGGCGAAGGCGGAUCUCUGGGCCAUUACUGACGCUGAGGAGCGAAAGCGUGGGGAGCGAACAGG